UCACUCCCUUUUUCUAUUUGUCCUCCAAAAUGCCUUAACUUUACUGGAGUGCCUUGGCUUACGGUGAAGCCUUAUCCCUGUCCAAUGAGGCAGUAAAAAAGUUUGAACUGGAAAGCAGUUUGUUUUUGUUUUAGAGUGCUUGCUUUGUAAGGUCAUUUAAAUGCUGCAGAAACUUCCAAUCUGCCUUUAAGAGAAGUGGUAGUGGUGUAUUGAAACCUGAUACCAGGAAGCGUUUUUAUUCCUCUACCCACAUUCAUAUAGCUGAGGUCCAUAUUUUUAUCUCCUGACCAGCUAACUUUGAUGGUUUGGAGAACGCAAGUAAAAUAAGACAUUAUAUGCAGGGGACACACUUUGUCUAGGAUGUGUUCCUGUUUUGAACAGAUGUUGCUUCCUGAAAGCAUUUUAGGUUUCAUGGUAGCUAUGUUAUGGUAAUCGGCUUGACCUAAGCUGUGUGGUCUCAGUAUCUGCCAAAUACAGUGAUAUGCCACUAAUGAGAGACCUGGUCUUUGUCCUUAAAGUGCAUCUCCAGUUGUAACUGGUUUCCAUAGGAGUUUAGGCCAAGAAGCACUUUGCAGAAUCAGGCUCUUUAAACCUAAAUUAACAUUCUGUUGAAAACUAAGCAUAUGUUGUUUUUCUUCACAGUCAAUAAUUUAGUUUCCAGGUUGGAAAAGAAACGCUGCUGGGGAGGAAUCCAAUGAAUUUAUUAAUGAGCUUGAUGUGAAGAACAACGGCAGAAAAUAACUUCCUGCUUGAAUGUCGAUAUUUUCUCCUUUUACUCUCCAAAGGGAUAGAAAGAAAUUCCCGGGGAUCAGAGGGAAGUGACCGUUUUGUCCCUCAGUCAUAUACCUGCAGAUAUUAUGGAAACAGAUUUAUAGUGGAUACGUACAAACUGGGUGUUUGAUGAAGACCUUCCUAAAGAGGAGCAACUGAAUGCCUUAGCCACCUUAGCGCGCUUCCUCUCCUAGCAAGGGGUUGACUAAAGUAAUUUGGUCCACGUUGUGCAAAAUAUGCUAAAGGCCUGAACUGAAAUAAAAGCUUUCCUGUUGACUUCA
rnacentral:lncRNA from 1 species